UCGACAGACAGUAACGUCAUUGUAUAAGUGCAGGCGGAGUGCGUUGAAAACAGCUGCUGGUUUCUGUUUUUAGAGAUGUCUCUUCUGCGCGCGUGUUCCUCCAGCAGACAGCUGUUCUGUAAGAGUCCAGCUGCGGAGCCGCUUUUCACAGAGUUCCCUGAUGAUGUGAACCCUGUGACGAAGGAGAAGGGGGGCCCACGGGGUCCAGAGCCAACUCGCUACGGAGAUUGGGAGAGGAAGGGCCGGUGUGUAGACUUCUAGCUGAUUAUCUGUAAAUGAAUAUGUACCUUAUGAGUAUGGAGAUGUUCUGUAAAAUGACAUACUGAUGCAGUUUGGAGAUGUGUGCAGCCAUUAGUGGUUUUCUGUCUUUUGUUUAAUCGUGAUGGAGGAGCAACGAGCAAGUUGCCAAAUUAAAUAAAACAACAAAGAUACA